AAUACGUUCCCGGGCCUUGUACACACCGCCCGUCAAGCCACGAAAGUCGGGGGGUACCCGAAGUCCGCAUCCUAACCGCAAGGAAGGAACGGCCGAAGGUAAACUCGAUGAUUGGGGCU
rnacentral:rRNA from 1 species